UGCAGCUAACGCAUUAAGCACUCCGCCUGGGGAGUACGGUCGCAAGACUGAAACUCAAAGGAAUUGACGGGGGCCCGCACAAGCGGUGGAGCAUGUGGUUUAAUUCGAAGCAACGCGAAGAACCUUACCAGGUCUUGACAUCCUCUGACAAUCCUAGAGAUAGGACGUCCCCUUCGGGGGCAGAGUGACAGGUGGUGCAUGGUUGUCGUCAGCUCGUGUCGUGAGAUGUUGGGUUAAGUCCCGCAACGAGCGCAACCCUUGAUCUUAGUUGCCAGCAUUCAGUUGGGCACUCUAAGGUGACUGCCGGUGACAAACCGGAGGAAGGUGGGGAUGACGUCAAAUCAUCAUGCCCCUUAUGACCUGGGCUACACACGUGCUACAAUGGACAGAACAAAGGGCAGCGAAACCGCGAGGUUAAGCCAAUCCCACAAAUCUGUUCUCAGUUCGGAUCGCAGUCUGCAACUCGACUGCGUGAAGCUGGAAUCGCUAGUAAUCGCGGAUCAGCAUGC
rnacentral:rRNA from 1 species